UAAUACAUAGGGUGCAAGCGUUGUCCGGAAUUAUUGGGCGUAAAGAGCUCGUAGGUGGUCGAUCACGUCGGAUGUGAAAAUCUGAGGCUUAACCUCAGACCUGCAUUCGAUACGGGUUGACUAGAGUGUGGUAGGGGAGACUGGAAUUCCUGGUGUAGCGGUGGAAUGCGCAGAUAUCAGGAGGAACACCGAUGGCGAAGGCAGGUCUCUGGGCCAUUACUGACACUGAGGAGCGAAAGCGUGGGGAGCGAACAGG
rnacentral:rRNA from 1 species